rnacentral:rRNA from 1 species
UACGUAGGGCGCAAGCGUUGUCCGGAAUUAUUGGGCGUAAAGAGCUCGUAGGCGGUUUGUUGCGUCGGCUGUGAAAUCCCGAGGCUCAACCUCGGGUCUGCAGUCGAUACGAGCAAACUAGAGUGUUGCAGGGGAGACUGGAAUUCCUGGUGUAGCGGUGAAAUGCGCAGAUAUCAGGAGGAACACCGGUGGCGAAGGCGGGUCUCUGGGCAACAACAUGACGCU